UCGAGGAUCUUCGGCAAUGGGCGCAAGCCUGACCGAGCGACGCCGCGUGCGCGAUGAAGGCCUUCGGGUUGUAAAGCGCUGUCGAGGGGGAGGAAAGCCCGCAAGGGUCUGACCUAUCCCUGGAGGAAGGACGGGCUAAGUUCGUGCCAGCAGCCGCGGUAAGACGAACCGUCCUAACGUUGUUCGGAAUCACUGGGCUUAAAGGGCGCGUAGGCGGGCAGCCAAGUCUGAGGUGAAAUCUUUCGGCUUAACCGGAAAAUAGCCUUGGAUACUGGCAGUCUCGAGGGAGGUAGGGGCAUGUGGAACUUCCGGUGGAGCGGUGAAAUGCGUUGAUAUCGGAAGGAACGCCGGUGGCGAAAGCGACGUGCUGGACCUCUACUGACGCUGAGGCGCGAAAGCCAGGGGAGCAAACGG
rnacentral:rRNA from 1 species